ACAUGAUAUGUUCUUCUUUUGCAGCAUGAGUUGAGAGAACUUGAACAAGCCACAUUAAAGCGAUGAAUAUAAAAAGGCUAGAGACGGAAAUUGUACUUGCAAUUCCAAUACAUGCUGACCUUGACCAGCAAGAGUCAUUCUAAUGGAAAAAAAGUAGAAAUUAGUAAUAUAUUUGUGAAUAAUUUAAUAAAGCAUCUUGUGAGCCUAGUAUAACUCAUUUAUUUUUUUAUAACUUACUGUAACCUUGCAUUCACAGUUUUUAGGACUAUUAGUGGCUCCAAUCAGAGU
rnacentral:antisense_RNA from 1 species